UUGACUCCUAGGGUGGUAGCGACCACAGAAAUGAGCUCUGUAUGUAACUCUGUCUACCUCUUCCCAGGCGAGG
rnacentral:miRNA from 1 species